rnacentral:rRNA from 1 species
UACGAAGGGGGCUAGCGUUGCUCGGAAUCACUGGGCGUAAAGGGUGCGUAGGCGGGUUUUUAAGUCAGGGGUGAAAUCCUGGAGCUCAACUCCAGAACUGCCUUUGAUACUGAAGAUCUUGAGUCCGGGAGAGGUGAGUGGAACUGCGAGUGUAGAGGUGAAAUUCGUAGAUAUUCGCAAGAACACAAGUGGCGAAGGCGGCUCACUGGCCCGGUACUGACGCUGAGGCACGAAAGCGUGGGGAGCAAACAGG